rnacentral:lncRNA from 1 species
AUUUGUAGAGAGUAGGGUAUUGUUUACACGUCAACCCUGCCCGAUCCACCAACAAGGUAUUGGCAACGUUAGCACAACUGUCUCCGUCAACUAUCACACUACAGAAUUUUUCAUUGACCAAGCACCUAGAAUGAAAAAUAGUAUUUCUCUGACUGUUGCCUUUGGGCUUAACAUGUAUGUUUAGUGCUCGUUGAGCCACAAAUACAUCUCCUUGUAUUGGUCGAGCUAUACUCUCUCCGUCCACUAGUGUUAGAUCUUCCUGCUCAUCACUGCUUUCGUGGUCACUGAUGAUAUCUCCAUCAUCUCGGAUAAUCAUGACACACUGAUUAGGAUAUUAGGAUGCAACAUCCCCCACUCCUAGGCACUUGAAAUAUUUAAUAGUGCUUUAACGGGUGAUUGGUGCCUUAGGAUUAACUGUUGGAUUGCCAGCGGGUUGUUUUCCCUUACUGUCAUCCACUUUCUUAUUUUCAUCCCUUCGAGUCCAUCUUUGGUUUCCCUAAGGAG